GACGAACGCUGGCGGCGUGCCUAAUACAUGCAAGUAGAACGCACAGUUUAUACCGUAGCUUGCUACACCAUAGACUGUGAGUUGCGAACGGGUGAGUAACGCGUAGGUAACCUGCCUGGUAGCGGGGGAUAACUAUUGGAAACGAUAGCUAAUACCGCAUAAUAUUAAUUAUUGCAUGAUAAUUGAUUGAAAGGUGCAAAUGCAUCACUACCAGAUGGACCUGCGUUGUAUUAGCUAGUAGGUGAGGUAACGGCUCACCUAGGCGACGAUACAUAGCCGACCUGAGAGGGUGAUCGGCCACGCUGGGACUGAGACACGGCCCAGACUCCUACGGGAGGCAGCAGUAGGGAAUCUUCGACAAUGGACGAAAGUCUGACCGAGCAACGCCGCGUGAGUGAAGAAGGUUUUCGGAUCGUAAAGCUCUGUUGUAAGAGAAGAACGGGUGUGAGAGUGGAAAGUUCACACUGUGACGGUAUCUUACCAGAAAGGGACGGCUAACUACGUGCCAGCAGCCGCGGUAAUACGUAGGUCCCGAGCGUUGUCCGGAUUUAUUGGGCGUAAAAGUGAGCGCAUGCGGUAUAUAAGUCUGAAGUUAAAGGCUGU
rnacentral:rRNA from 1 species